rnacentral:lncRNA from 1 species
UUAAAAAUUUGUAGAUUUCUUAGAAUGGAACUAACUCGAGCCCUUCGUUUUGAGCUGGGGCUCACUGCCCAUCGAGGGCAGUGAGUGAGUGGGAU